AAGAGAGAAACCUGAGGCAGAGAACUAGCCAAUAGCUGAUUUAAAACUCAGGUGUUGCUAUUUUACCCUUUAGUGUAGAGCAGUGGUUUUCACAGUAUUAUUUUUCAAUUUAGUUUAGUGGUCAGGGUCCAUAUUUUAUAAAUAGGAAGUAAAUUAGAAUAAAGAGUACAAUAGUGCCUCUCGUGGUAAUGGUAAGUAUUAACACGUGUGAGCAUGUGUUUAUGUGUGUUAUGUUGCUAUUUAAAAUGUGUGUAACUUACUAUGUUUAACUUAUUAUGGGUGCCUUCACACAAUGUUUAAGUAAUACUAGAGAUUCAGUGCUUUGAAAAAUGUGUUAAUCCACAUUAUCAAAAAAGUAGGAAUAGUCAAUCUUGGCAGUAGACACACCCAUGGAACAUAGUGCGUAGUGCGAAGUGCUGUUUUACUGGACCGAAAGCAAUACUUCAUUUAGGUAUAUGACCCAGUUUCCUAGUUGUUAACCACAGUGGGUUUUUUGAGUUGAUAUGGAACAUAGAUUUUGUGAUAUUGAAAACAUCUGUCAGUAGUUUCAAAUAAUUAAUGGAGCUAGGUAGAAAACCUAAUGUUUAGUAGCUUAUUGGAUAUGCUCAGCCUAUGAUGCAAAGUGAUUGCUCUUCAGUAAAACCCUAUAUAGGGAAGUCCAACAAAUGAAUUGAUUUCUUGAAAUAUCAAAGUGAUAUUAGCCACCAUAUUUUACAUGUAUUACAUUUAUCAUACUGUGAAGAUUUUCCAUUGCAUGUAUUCUCAAUAAAAGUGAUGAUACCACUAUGGUUACUGCCAUCAGCAGCAACCACAGCUAAUUUAUAUGGGGUUUCCCUAGAUAUUCCCUUUAACUCACAUCUCUGCCCUCCUUGGCUUCCUACAUUUCUUAGUUUGUGGUGUUUUCUCCUGUGUGUAUAAUACCUGCCAUCACGUGUGUGAAUGUUUAGGUUUUGAGCACAGUUGCUUUGAGGUGAUUUGUGAUUGCUCCUAAUUGUUAUUAUGUCAUAUACCAGAUAUAUGUAUGAUAAAACUCUGAAGUGCCUUAUAGGAGAGUACUAAUGUGGAGAUAAACAAAAAUAGUGUCUAAUCUGAAUAAGCUGAUAAAAGACAUUAAAUAUAUACAUUUAUUUUUCCUGCCAUAAUACCUUUAACUAUUGAUCAUUUGGAAUUUAAUCUGAACGAUUUUACACUUGCCUGAGAAAUAUAGAAAACUUGGGAAAAUGGUCACUAGUUCAUCUUGAAAUAUGAAUAAUUUACAGUAUAUUUAUAAGAUCACUGAUUUUUUUCUCUUCCUUUUUUCACUAUCUAAAUAAUAUUUUGUGUUGAUUUUCAUUUUCCCGGUCUUAUCAUUUUUUACUUUUUUAUUUUCAGACUUUUAUUUAUUUAAAGAAUUUGUAUUUAGUUUUUUAGACUGAUACAUGAAAACAUAAAAGUUUUACAUAUUAAUGGGAUAGUAUGUGAUAUAUCCAUACAUGUGUACAUUGUGUUCAAAUCAGGGCAAACAUUUGUCUCCUCAAACAUUUUUGCAUGGUGAAUAUAUAUAUAUUAAGGAAACUUUCUUCUAGGUUUUUGAAAUAGAUGAUACUUCAUCACAGUCUAUGUUUACUGUACAAAUAUUCUGUAAUAUUUUAACGUGAU
rnacentral:lncRNA from 1 species